rnacentral:tRNA from 1 species
GGAGAUAUGACCCAGUGGUAGAGUACUUGCCUAAAGUGGCAAGAUCCUGGGUUCAAACCCCAGUACCA